rnacentral:rRNA from 1 species
GAUGAACGCUGGCGGCGUGCCUAAUACAUGCAAGUCGAGCGAACGGACGAGAAGCUUGCUUCUCUGAUGUUAGCGGCGGACGGGUGAGUAACACGUGGAUAACCUACCUAUAAGACCGGGAUAACUUCGGGAAACCGGAGCUAAUACCGGAUAAUAUUUUGAACCGCAUGGUUCAAAAGUGAAAGACGGUCUUGCUGUCACUUAUAGAUGGAUCCGCGCUGCAUUAGCUAGUUGGUAAGGUAACGGCUUACCAAGGCAACGAUGCAUAGCCGACCUGAGAGGGUGAUAGGCCACACGGGAAGUGAGACACGGUCCAGACUCCUACGGGAGGCAGCAGUAGGGACUCUUCCGCAAUGGGCGAAAGCCUGACGGAGCAACGCCGAGUGAGUGAUGAAGGUCUUCGGAUCGUAAAACUCUGUUAUUAGGGAAGAACAUAUGUGUAAGUAACUGUGCACAUCUUGACGGUACCUAAUCAGAAAGCCACGGCUAACUACGUG